UAUAUUUUAUCCCUAGUGGGGUUUAUUUUGAUUUGGUUUGUUGUUUUUUUUUUUUUUUUUCAGGGAAUCAGAGACUGCUUUGGGUGGAAGGGACCUUUGAGAUCAUCUUGUCCCAACCCCCUGCCAUGGGCAGGGACACCUUCCACUAUCCCAGGUUGCUCAGAGCUCCCCCCCAACCUGACCUGGAACACUUCCAUGGAUGGGAAGGAAUUUUCUUUCAUCCUUCUUCCUUUAGGAGCACAUGGCCUUGCCUAAACUCUGUUCAGAUGAGCUCCAGGUGAUGAGAACUAUGGAGACCUCUGAACAUCUCCUGCGCUGUCUCCAUCUUGCUGCAUCGUAUUUCAAUGUUUUGGUAAUGUUUUUGUGCUCCAUUCAAUUUCCAACCCGGCUUCUUAAUCUGUCCUCCCUGAAUCCAAGGCCUUGCACCAUCUCCUCCCUUUUGUCUCUCCAAAAAUCCGGAAUCCCUGCACCUUCACUGAGGGAGCAGCAGCAGUGCCCCUGUGAGAAACACCCAAAUAACUUCCCUCUGAUGAUCCCAGUUCCUUCUUCUGUAUUUGGCAAACCUCUGGAAGUUUUCUAG
rnacentral:lncRNA from 1 species